CUCUUCCUCUGUACUCAGCACUGUGCCCUCUCACAAGAUCAUCACGGGCUAGUGACAAAUGAUCAGAUACAAAAAUAUACUAUGAGUCAGCGGAACGUGCCACGCUUUAAGGCAGACAAACAUGCAGCUGGCCCAUGGGGAGGGAGGAAGGACUAGAGGGACACGGGGACGGUUUUUCAAACCAGGCAAGUGGAGACGAGAGCAGAAAGAAAGAGCAGCUUGCGCAAAGGCCCUGGGUCUCUCAGAUCACGUGGAAUCUCUUGAUCGGUUCCACAUGGACCAGCUUCUGACACCCUGGCUGCAGAACAGAAGCGGCGGCUGGGAGAGCUCUGCCCUCUCUCACUAGCUGGAAUCCCGUCUCCAACUCUCUGCAGCCGACUCCAUCUGCGCAUCACUCCGAUCUGUAUUACAGUGAUUACUCCGGCGUCUGCAUCUCGUCCUGAGGUCCUGAACUUUGGGAUGGCACCGACCAUCUGUGACUGUCCGACUCAAAACAUCGGUGCCUGGCACAGGAAGCAUCUCAUUCUGUCUCUCCUCACCCCCCUUAUGCAUUUCACCCAUCACCAAGGCCCAUAGAGUCUACCUUGCAGCGUCUCACCAAUUCACCUGUCUCUCUAAGGCCACUGGCACCUCAUGCCAGCCCUACUAAUGGGCUCCUUCCUUCGCCCCUCCUCCAGUCUAGUCAAUAUGUUACCAAAGCAUUAUCCCUCUCCACUGCUCUGCCCUUCAAUCAUCUGUACCACAAAAUGUGACUCAAUAAAUUCAAGCUGCUAUUCCAAACGUGGCCUCAUUUGUCACACCAGCCUCAAGCUUCAUCUCGCACCACUCAGAGUCUGCUCCACACCAAACCCAGCAGGACCAGGGCAAGGCCUUGCAGGCAGGAGGUGCUCAGUAAAGGACCAUGCAA
rnacentral:lncRNA from 1 species